rnacentral:rRNA from 1 species
GACGAACGCUGGCGGCGUGCUUAACACAUGCAAGUCGAACGGAAAGGCCCUGCUUUUGUGGGGUGCUCGACUGGAGACGGGGUGACUAACACGUGGGUAACCUGUCCUUGCCUUUGGGGUAACUUCAUGCCACUUGGGCUAAUACCGGAUAGGAGCUCCUGCUUCUUGGUGGGGGUGGGUAAGUUUAGGUGGUUGGGGGUGGACUCGCGGCUUAUCGGCUUGGUGGAUGGGUAGUGGCUUACCAAGGCUAUGACGGGUAGCCGGCCUGAGAGGGUGACCGGCCACACUGGGACUGAGAUACGGCCCAGACUCCUACGGGAGGCAGCAGUGGGGAAUAUUGCACAAUGGGCGGAAGCCUGAUGCAGCAACGCCGCGUGCGGGAUGACGGCCUUCGGGUUGUAAACCGCUUUCGCCUGUGACGAAGCGUGAGUGACGGUAAUGGGUAAAGAAGCACCGGCUAACUACGUG